UGAACUUGUUAUCCUCCUGAAUUAGCAUUCAGAAUCACUGAGAUUAUAAGCAUGUAUUACCACAUCAUGCAGGGCUAUAUUAUCUGAUGUUCUUAAGGACCCCAAGGUCCUAUAAUGUUUGUGAUGGCAUAACUAAAUAAAAUCUAGUAAAAAUCCCCAAAUCUUUUCUACUAUAAUGUAAGAGUCUUCUCUGGGAACUUUCUAGAAGCAUUUCCAAAAGGACAAAUGAUUUAUUUAAAUUUUAUCAGUUUCUCUUUCCCUGCCUACUAGUUAGCAGAAAAGUAAUUAAAGGCAGAUGUUGGAGAAUGAUCAGGAAGGUAAAAGGAUUUAAAGUUCAGCCAAAGGAACUGGGAUUGGAGGAACCCAGGGGAGAGAGGUUGCUUAGUGAUAAAAGAGAAAAUCCACUACGGGUAAGAAACCUGGCUUUUAAUAAAAAGACAGAUGGAAAUCGUAAGUUGCAGCACAUUUGUUCAUCAGAGAGAAAGAAAUGCUAAAAGGAGGAUGCACAUUCAGUUUAAGCCAAAAAAAAAAAGUUCUUUCUCUGAAUUAUAGAUUUCUAAAAAUAUAGCAUUUGCUAGAGAGCAUCCUAACGAUACACAUGUCCAAGAAGACUGGCUUGAGGGAAAAUAGAAGAAGUGAAGGAAGAAUUGGAUUGAAUUUCUGAGCUGAAGCCCUCUAGUCCUGACAUUCUGUGACUAUAUCAAUACAGGCUAGACUUUGGAAAUGCAGUCUAAAGGCCUGACUGAUUUUUGUCUAAAGCUUACUAAUAUAUCUGCAUUUCCGGAAAUAUCUAGCUACUAAGAAUUGUCUCAGACAAUGCAGAGUUGUUUUUUAAAAAAAUAUUUAUGCUGGUCUCUAAUACCUACAUACACAAGAUCUAAUAUUGACUGUUAAUUCUCCAUAGUGUGUGUAGAUUUUAUCAAAGUAUACAAACUUUGUCACUGUGGAAAGACAGGCUUCAAGUCCUGUUUCUCAGAGAAGAUAAACCCCCAUACCUGGGAAGCAUUCUGUGAUUAAACUUUUAAGGGUAACUAUGUGCCAAGCUAGAUGCACAGUAGGUGCUGACAAAGAUUUAUUGAGGGAAUGAGAGGGGAAAAAAAGGGAAACAGAAUUAUUCUAUUAAAGGUUAAUGAAAGUUCAAUCUACCUAAUAAUGGAAAGAGAACUAGUUAAUGGCUUAUAUGCCCCCAGAUACAUUUGAAGUUCUGGCUUCUCUGCUUUCUCUCUCAUAUCAUCUCAUGUGGUCAUUCCAGCAGCUGCCUGCAUUGAGGAGUCAUAUAUUAUAGUUUGGAUUUGAAACGCCUCCAAGAAAGCUCAUGUGUUAAAAACAUGAUCUCCGAAGUAGCAACAUUCAAAGGUGGGGCUUUUAAGCAGUGAUUGAAUCAUAGGGCUCUUGAGUUCAUAAGUGGAUUAAUCUAUGUGAUAAAUUAAUCUAUUGACAGCUGAAUGGACUUCUGGGAGGUGGGACCUAGUUGGAGGAAGUAGGUCACUGAGGGCAUGGCCUAGGGGACUACAUCUAUCCCUGGCCACUUCCCCUCUCAGUCUAUCUCUCUCUCUCUGCUUCCUGGCUGCCAUGAGCUGAGCAGUUUCCCUCUGCCGUGACCUUCUGCCACGAUGUUUCUGCAAUGGACUUGGCCAACUAUGGACUGAACCUCUGAAACCCUGAGCCAAAAUAUAUCUUUACUCCUCCAAGUUGUUCUUGACAGCAUAAGGUAAAUGUUUUGCUCCACCAUGAUGUGAUGAUGCAUUACCACAGGCCCUAAAGUCCCAGGUCCAGUCUUCAUGGAAUAAAUCUCCAAAUCUGAUCAACACAGCAUCAGACCAUUUCUCUACGAAAUGUGACAAUGAGGAAGUCUCUUCCACCCUCUCUGGCAUAGAAAUGGGAUAUAAUGCCCUAGAAGAGCAGACUCUACUAACAGAUCUUCGGUAAUUCAGCUCAGGGCUCUCUAACUCUGCCAUUAAGAGAAGAUGAUACAAUGUAGGAAGUUCAAAGGCAAGACAACUUCCUUUUCUUUUCCUCCAUAUCUCAGAGCCAUCCCGUACCAAGUAUUUAUCGCCGGCUCCUGUCCAUAGCACUCUCAGAAGGUAUUUAUGUGGUUAUAAACUGACCACAGAAUGGUGCAACUUAAAAUCAGGAUGCUUUUAUGUGACGCUGCAAAUAAAAGACAGAACUCAAAGUUUAUGUCUUUCUUGGCUCCUUGCAGCUGGGAUAAGUUUCUCAGCUCUAAUCUCACACAAGGUCUCUGUGGCUGUGCAUGAAUCUAUCAAGAUGGAAAAAUUAAGUCCCCUUGAAUCACUGCAGCUUUCUGGUGUGGCUCAGCUUGGUGGUGUAGAAUUAAAAUCAUGCUCACUGCUUACACAGUAUCGCAGAUACUCAGCAAACCAGUGUGACUUGAUUUCUAAUCUCCAUACCUAUAUUCGUAUAGGAAAUACCUUUUUAUUUCUCUUCACUUUUUCUCCUAAGAGCAAAACCUUUGGAUCUCAUUUGUUUUAAAACUGACUAACUGCUUCAUGGGAUCUUUCAAGAAAGAAUAAAACCCAAUGAAGACCAGCAAGGUCUAUUUAGAAGGCGCCAUUUUCUUCUCAUGCCACACUUUGGGAGUCUUGGCCAAUUGGGAAUCCAGGAAGCCUGUCAAAUUUAUUUAAUUAAAGUGAAAAGAAAGAAAAUCUCCUUUAACAUUCCGAAUCAACAGGAGUCUAAUGAGUCAUGUUGGAUCCUGGAGUUGAGACACAGUAGGGCAUUUUCUGAGCUAAUUUGCUUCAUUAAUAUUCAAAGGAUGUAGAUUACCAGAAUUUUCUAGGAGACUUCAGGGCCAAAAAACCGUCAACAAGAAAGUUUUAUUUUGCAUGUGAUGUUAAACAGAUGUUCCACAUCGAACCAACUGUAGCAUUUAAUAUAAAAUGUUGUCAAUUAGAAUAAUUA